rnacentral:rRNA from 1 species
GACGUAGGGCGCGAGCGUUGUCCGGAUUUAUUGGGCGUAAAGAGCUCGUAGGCGGCUUGUCGCGUCGUCCGUGAAAACCUGCGGCUCAACUGCAGGCUGGCGGUCGAUACGGGCAGGCUGGAGUUCGGUAGGGGAGACUGGAAUUCCUGGUGUAGCGGUGAAAUGCGCAGAUAUCAGGAAGAAUAUCCGUGGCGAAGGCGGCUCUCUGGGACGGUACUGACGCUGAGACGCGAAAGCGUGGGGAGCGAACAGG